UCAAAACUAACUACGGUUCCUAACACUAAUUUUAAAACCAAAAUUCUAAACUCUAAUUUAUUAAUUUUUUUAGUCACUAUUAACUAUUUGCAAAUAAUUUAAUUAGGGCUAUCCCACUUCUGACACCAAAAUGUUAAGAAUCGCGGGUUCGUAAAGGAUAGCCCAAAUAAAGAUUUUAUUACACACACAGUUUUAUUUAUUGCCGCUAUUUACAUUACUAGUAAAUAAUCUAAAAAUGGCAAUUAAUCAAUUGCACUUAAUAAUGUUGCUUCCCAGUCACUAAUUUUUACACACCGCACACCUCGCUGGGCCGUACCUCUGGCGCAACUCUCGCCGCACCUUCCUCAAGGACCUUAGUCGCAGGACUCCGUCGCCGCACUCCGCCGCUGACGCCGCCGUCGUCGCACUUGCCUUCGCAGAUGAUCUGCUUGACGCCUCGCUCGGAACUUCACUCAGUGCUCCGCUGUGCCCACGACACUAUCACCCGGAACUGAACUCUCUGCCCUAGAAUCUUCUUCCAGGGACUUUGCAACGUGGUGUGAACGAAGAAAAUUACAAAACGCCAAACAAUUCACACCAAGUUAUACAAUGCGCUCAUAUGAGUAAAGGAGCAUAUAAAUUCACCCUUUCUAUUAAGGGUACCUAGCAGAGCGUGUCUUGUAAAAACAAUAUUUCUGAUUACUAUAAAUUUUAAGAACAAGAAUAAUACGUUUGAUCGAAUUGAGUUCUUUUGAUAAUUUUUUUUUCUAUGAACGUUCACACAUUAAAUACAAAAUACAUGCCGGUCCACAAGGACACGAAAAGAGGACAAUAAUUAAGAUCAAAUAAUUUCUUCACCAACAUGUGCUCCAAUAAGGCAGCAGCCAAAGUUCAUUUAGUAUGUAACAAACUAUGUGCAUAUGAAGAACCCAUACAUGAUACAGGACAGAAAUUUAAGUUUACUUUAGAAAUUGUACGAGCAUUUAACAAAAUAUUACAUAGAGCACCAACGUGCUCCACGCGGAGCUACAACAAGCAAGUUACAAAAGAAAAUAUGUAAAAAUUUAAUAUUUAAAGAAUUGUAACAUGUAGACUAGUAUCAGGGCCGGCAUGGCCGUUUACAGGUUCCUACGAACCACGAGCUCUCCAUACGUAACAAGUGCACGGCCCGAGGGAGCACUUACCCUAGACGUGGCGAGAAACAGACAGGAAAGACAACAGCAAAGCAAAGUCACUCAGGCAGGCAACUCGUGACACCGGCACUUAUGGUGCUUAAAAAAUAAGGUACAACGACAUCAGGAGACAACAGGCAGAAAGGGACGGCAAUGCAAACCGCGAAUAGGUGAACCAUCGAGGUCCCAGCAGCCAUACUAAGACAAACGCUGGGAUCCUCGGAGCAAACUGUAACUACUUUACCACACGGCCAUCUCGUGCGAGCAAACAAAAAAUCAAACCACAGCAGUUUCUCCCUCGGCACCGUCACUGCCUAACAAACUAACUGAUAACAUGCUUAUCACAGCUCAAAGUAUGCUAAGCUGAGGCCGAGGCACAGCUGACAGCUGCUUAUAAAGCCUUGCAUAGAGCGCGCUGCGGUCGGAGCAUCGGUGGGGAAGAUGAAAAAAGAAGGAGGGGGGAAACAAACAUACGAGGCGGCGGGCCGCUUCAACACCCACCCCUAAAAGGGCCCCUGCCCGGAGAGAAAGCAUACAGAGGUGGUAUCUUGAUAUGCGAAACGAUUAUUGAAGAUGAAGAUCGAUGUAUCUUGAUGCUCGGCGAGGGUCUCCCAGUGAAACGAAGUACGUUGUUGACGGCGAGACUCUGUGGCAGUUGCAAGAAAAUCAGAGCCCCUGUUGGGGCAACGAUCGGCUGGACGCUGAUGUUGCGCGGGAGUCGGAAACACAAGGGGCACCAGUCGCCAAACUACAGUCAUUCACUAUAACAAAGAACAGUUUUUAGACAAGCCGGACGAGUGCACCUCCGAGACCAUGGGGUGAGACGGGAGGGGUACACAGUCAGCAGAGAGUCCCCAGUAGAAGGGGCAAGGGGCUAGCUUCUCAACCGCAGGAACUCCAGCGGGUGUCGCCAUUCCACACGGCCCUGACAGCGGAGAAGACACCACACGCGCGGAGGCUGCCAAACUCAGCGGCUAGGCAGCGGGCACGGAGAUCCGGAGGCACUGCAGAGCGCCGUCACGUAGCUCACGUGGUAAGUGUCCAGAAGCGAGCUGCCACUCACGCGAACUGGUAGAUGCCCUCCUCACAUCUUGUAAACUCGAUUCCACAGAGCGUCUCUUCCAGGAUGACAUCAAUCCUAGGAGACGGCUCCGGCGGAAGAUUAGAGAAACAGGUGCGACGAAGUUAGCGUAACUCACAGUACUGGCAGGCGGAAGCGGGCUCUCUCUCUCGGACGGGUCGCACAGAGGGGCGGAUGCGACAGAGACGGCGCGGAGACGUCUCUCCACGCGGCGCUGAAGAUGCGGCGAGCGGUGCGUAGACGAUGCGGUGAAGACAGUCGCGCACAGCGAAGGGAGGGGUCGGGAUGGAAAGCGCCACUGUAGACAAUAAGACAGCAGGCAGCAUACCACAAGAACAAGAAUAAACACACCCACACGAGAAUUAAUAUAGGCCUCAAAAAAAACAACACAAUAUUAGGUUAUAUAGGUAUGCAAAUAUAUAAAAUAUGGAAAUGUCAAAACUACAAGACAACGCAACAAGAUCAUUAUAAACAGUAACUAUAAUAAACAACUAUAACAAGAGGUUUAGCUAACAUAUUUUUUAAGCUGGGAAACGUGUCCCUUAACAAACUUACGUUUGUUAGCUACUAACUGCAAUAGCGCCGUGUUGGGGGCGAGAAAUCGGCUUAUUACAUAAGGCCCUUUGUAUGGCGCGAUAUGUUUAACAUUUAUCCUUGCUGUCAGAGAUGGCAGGGUAAAGUUUCUACACAGGACCUGGUCGCCGACCUCGAACGAGUGAGCUUUUCUAUGCUUAUCAUAGUUAGAAGCCACAUCGCGUCUCGCGUUUGUGAGAUUACAUUCUACUCUAUCCAAAAUUCGGUCCAACUCGGGACCACUAAGGCUUGAGUCCAGCGACGGUAUGCCCCACUGAUUCAGAAGAGGAUGGCUAAGUUCCCUCCUUAGGAAAGGUACAGAAGGGGGGGGACCCCGUGGCGGAAUGGUGGGCGGAGUUCAAAGCCAUGUUUACAUACUCAUUUUCCGAGUCCCACAAAGUUUGAUCAGCGCGAUUGUACGCCUUAAGGAUACUCUUCAGUACUUUAUUUACUCUCUCAGACAUAUUUCCCUGGGGGAAUUAGGCGGUGCUGUACACAGGUUUAAUCGCCCACUCAAAACAGAAUUCACGAUAGACAUCUGAUUGAAAAUACCUGGCAUUGUCCGACACUAUGAUGCAAGGUGGACCAAAUACUUUGAACACCUGUUCUCUGAGAACCUUUACAAUGGAAAUAGAUUUCAUGUUUUUUAAGGGGGCCAAAAUCACAAACUUAGUAAAUAUGUCCAAAAUUACCAAAAUACACACAUUACCUUUCUUUGAUCGUGUUAAGGGUCCAAAGAUGUCUACGUGGAGAACAUGCCACGGCGCCACAGGCGGAUCAGCGCAAUAAAACCCCAUCCUAGAGUUGUGCGGGGGCUUGGAGAUUUGGCAGUCGUGACAAGCACGGACAAAUUCACGCACGUCCUUGCGCAUCUCAGGCCAAAACAAGUGAAGAGCGAUUUUGCGGAAAGUCUUCUUUAUACCUAAAUGUCCGCCGGCAAGCGAGGCAUGAAAAUAAGUGAGCACCAUAUUUUUAAGUUUAGCCGGGACUACCAUCUUCCGGGCACGGCCGGUACUACCCACAAAAAUAGAUAAGUCCCUGGUUGUCCAAAUAUUCAACGGACUUGCCUUCACGCAAAUCCUUGCGGAUUUGAACACACAAGGCAUCAUCGCGCUGACACUCUUUGAUAUUAAUGAAGGAUUCAGGAAAAACCUUCAGAACGGCAACUAACUCAGAAAUAGGCGGGGUUUCAAAGUCGGGGAAUUCAAAUUCUUCCGGGUUGUACAUCCUGGAUAGUGUGUCUGCUACAAUAUUUUACGUGCCUUUCACGUGGUGGAUGACGAAGCGAAACCGGGAGAGUCUGAGAAUCCAACGGCUAAUUUCCCAAGCUGGUGGGGAUGGUUAAACAACCAGCUCAGAGCCCUAUUAUCGGUGUACAAAUCGAACUCCUUGCAGUCUAGGUAACUUUCAAAUUUCUCCAGGCCGAACAGACAUGCUAAGGCCUCUUUCUCGUAAAUUCCUCUGCGGCGCUCUGCCUCUAGCAAAGUUCGGCUAGCGAAAGCUAUGGGACUUAAUUUUCCGUCUUCGAAAUGGCCUAUGACAGCCCCUAGAGCUAUAGACGAGACGUCAACCUGGACAGCAAAACGUUUGUCGAAAUCAGGUAGAAUUAAAACGGGAGGGAAGCCAGCCGUUUCUUAAGGACUGAAAAAGCCUUUUCCUGCUCGUCGCCCCAAACGAAUAGCACAUUCUUUUUUCGCAGGUGGUUGAGGGGGGCACAGACUGCGGCAAAGUCGGGAAUGAACCUAGAAUAAUAACCUAGUAAGCCGAGGAAGCGUUGCACGCCCUUCAGAUUUUUAGGGCGCGAGAAAUCAACAACUGGGGAAAUUUUGUCCGGAUCCAUCAACAACUGUCCAUGGCCGAUGACAUAGCCGAGAAAUUUGACAAAAUCCUUGGCCAGGGUAAUUUUGUUUGGAUUAACAGUUAAACCUGCUGCUCUCAGGCGGCUGAAUACUUCAGUCAGAUGAACUAAGUGUUCGUCAAACGAGUCACUGUAGACAAUGAUAUCGUCAACAUAGUUAAAGACGAAUUUAAAUUUAAGGUCACUGAGUACAUGGUCCAACACGUGACUCAAUGCCUGGCUGCCAAAACUAACCCCCAUAGGGAUUCUAUUGAAGUGGUAGUGGCCAAAGGGAGUAGAGAAAGCAGUGUAUUUUCGGCAUGCCGGGUCCAGUAAACAUUGGUGGAAACUCUGGUUCAAAUCUAUCACUGAAAAAAUAUUAGCCUUGCCGAGAUGCUGUAAAGCACUCUCUACUGUAGGGAUCGGAAAUAUGUCAUCUAUAAUCUUUUGGUUCAUAGGCUUGUAAUUAUGUACGAGCCUUCAAUCAGUACUAUUUCUCUUAGCCACUAAGAAGGUAGGCGUGGAAAAAUCCGAAGUUGAGGGAGAAAUUACGUCAGCAGCCAAAAGAUUCUGAAUAAUCUGGCGCAUAGCCUGCAUCUUAGGUGGAGAUAAUUUAAUAUAUUUACUAUGUACGGGUACCUCAUCCUUGACGUAGAAACAGUAAGGCAAGAUGUCACACUUACCCAGAUUACGGGUAAUGACGUCAGAAAAAGAUUUCACCAGGUCAUCAAUCGCUCGUUCGUGCUCGCUAGACGCCGAGGCGUCACAGGCGGCGACAAUAGGAGCGCGGGACUCAUGCCGCAACAAAAUUUUCACCAGGGGUGCAGAGCCAAAAGACAGUUCAUGCCUCGAGGCAUCCAAUACACGAACGGGCUUUACUUAAAAAAUCAAGCCCGAAAAUCAAAUUAGGAGAAAAAUCGGGCACGACCACGAAGGGCCAGUUCCACGAAAACCCAUGAAUUUUAAAAUGCAAAACAAUAAUUUUGUGUGACUUCACACAAUGCCCAGUGGCGACAACAAUAUUUAUGUCGGAAUCCUCUACGAGGCGCUGCUUCAAAAAAGGGUAUUUCAGAAAUAGGCUAGCCAAGCAAUCCUCGCUAAUGGCAGAAUGAGAUGCGCCAGUAUCAACCAGUGCCGGAUAAAAAUACUCCCGUAUGCCUAUAGACAAAAAAUGUAAAAACGUGGGCGGAGAGGCUUUACGAAGCGUACGACGGAGACAACCUCUCUUACGUCCCAUCAGCGGCCGUUUCCCGUUACCGGGCAGUCGGCACGAUAGUGACCGGCGCGCCUGCACCGGAAACACUUCCUCUCAUUGACAUCCACGCGGGGGCUCACACAAUCCCCGGCCACGUGACCGAACGCGCAGCAGUUAGAACAUCUGCCACUCCUACGGCUCGUGUCUACGCACGGCCGGCCUUCAGGGUCAUACAAGGUCAAGGGCGGCGCGCUUGGGGGCGGAGUUACAUAACUCACUCGGCGAUUCAUGCCACUGCGCCCCGGACACCGCGACUGGGUCAAGGGCACAGAUGGCGCACAAGAGGGCGCACUUACACCAGCUGCGUUAUAUCUCGCGUCAGUACGCGUUUGACCUGCAGCACCGACCGGGCGUGGCGCACGCAAGGGCUCAGCUAGACUAGCCGAACUGUCAUUCCAAGACGAGCGAACACCAGGCUGUCUAGCGCAUGGCUCGCUUACAUCAGACACUCCAACGUGCGCAAACCUCACGUCGCCAUGCGCCGCAACACGCGGGCGUGUCCCAGCCCGCAAUGCCGGCCCUGCAGAGCGUGGCUCAUGUCACAAAGGCGGAUGUUUCGUUAGAAAACUCCGAGUGAUAUUUAGAAAUAGCACCUAAACGGCUUUGCACUUCACCGCCCCAGGCUCUCAAGCUGUCAAGGGUAGUGGGCGGCGUAAGCAUGGCACAAUGCUGCCAUACCAGAGGGGAAAAAUUACCCAAGACGAGCUGUACAAAUUCUGCCUCUGGCGUGUCAAGGUCAAGGGCCUCCGCGUAAACGGUGACAGACGUCACAAAUUGCGCAAUGGUUUCCUGCGGGCGUUGGAACCGGAAGACGAGCUCCCGUUUACACGUGUCAAACACUUUGGAAGGCAAACAGAUUGCACUAAGGAUUUCUUAAAAUCCGGGAAUUUUACUCCAUAAAGACAGGCCUCAGUAAGCAAGGGCACGUAAGUGCCAGAGCACUUGCUGAGCAGUGCUUUCAUAAAAGCGUCUGAGGGAACUAGAUUUAAUUUAUAUAAACGUUCGGCCUCUAUUAUGAAAUCUAAAACAUCCGUGGGGUCACUCCCACCCAAGACAGCAAGUGGUUUUAGGGCUGGAAAAAAAAGCUCUAAGUUAAACGAAGAGGAAACGGACGGACUCACGUCAGUGGGAAGAGACCGUGGCUGGUCCUCAGGCGCCGCCUCAGACACUUCCCGCACGUACUUGACCAGAUGGGCCCGCAAUGCCAUCACGGUAUCGGUAGGUGAAACAGGAAGCCCAUUCUCCUCAAGGUGGGCGAUCAGCUUCACCGGCGAAAUCAUGGCGAUGAUACCAAGAACAAACAAAAAAACACACAAUGCUCUGCUAGAGAGCAGAGUAGCGCAGAGUUGCAACGUGGAGUGAUCGAAGAAAAUUACAAAACGCCAAACAAUUCACACCAAGUUACACAAUGCGCUCAUAUGAGUAAAGGAGCAUAUAAAUUCACCCUUUCUAUUAAGGGUACCUAGCAGAGCGUUUCUUGUAAAAACAAUAUUUCUGAUUACUAUAAAUUUUAAGAACAAGAAUAAUACGUUUGAUCGAAUUGAGUUCUAUUAAUAAUAUAUAUUUUUUUCUAUGAACGUUCACACAUUAAAUACAAAAUACAUGCCGGUCCACAAGGACACGAAAAGAGGACAAUAAUUAAGUUCAGAUAAUUUCUUCACCAACAUAUGCUCCAAUAAGGCAGCAGCCAAAGUUCAUUUAGUAUGUAACAAACUAUGUGCAUAUGAAGCACCCAUACAUGAUACAGGACAGAAAUUUAGGUUUACUUUAGAAAUUAUACGAGCAUUUAACAAAAUAUUACAUAGAGCAACAACGUGCUCCGUGCGGAGCUACAACAAGCAAGUUACAAAAGAAAAUAUGUAAAAAUUUAAUAUUUAGAGAAUUGUAACAUCUAGACUAGUAUCAGGGCCGGCAUGGCCGUUUACAGGUUCCUACGAACCACGAGCUCUCCAUACGUAACAAGUGCACGGCCCGAGGGAGCACUUACCCUAGACGUGGCGAGAAACAGACAGGAAAGACAACAGCAAAGCAAAGUCACUCAGGCAGGCAACUCGUGACACCGGCACUUAUGGUGCUUAAAAAAUAAGGUACGACGACAUCAGGAGACGAUAGGCGUGAACGGACGGCAAUGCUAACCGCGACAUGAAAGAGUGAAAAAGAACCUGGAAUAGGUGAACCAUAGAGGUCCCAGCAGCCAUACUAAGACAAACCUGCAUGAUGGCAAACAAUUACCUUACUUUAAACGCUGGGAUCCUCGGAGCAAACUGUAACUACUUUACCAUACGGCCAUCUCGUGCGAGCAAACAAAAAAUCAAACCACAGCAGUCUCUCCCUCGGUGCCGUCACUGCCUAACAAACUAACUGAUCACGUGCUUAUCACAGCUCAAAGUAUGCUAAGCCGAGGCUGAGGCACAGCCGACGGCUGCUUAUAAAGCCUCGUAUAGAGCGCGCUGCGGUCGGAGCAUCGGUGGGGAAGCUGAAAAAAGGAGGGGGGAAACAAACUCACAAGAAAAAGAUUAGAGAGGAGAGAGGGGUGGGAAGGCUGUGACGUAGCGACAUACGAGGCGGUGGGCCGCUUCAACUUGACCGUUCUAUUGCCUGGAAACUCCGCCGCGGGAAAAGUCCCGACUGAACUCAAACGACUCUCUAGGCCGGCGUCCUCGUCUUAUAUAUCACAGACACCAUUUCUAUAACUCACGAGUGCGGCUGGGGCCUGUUGUAUCAUUCCGCGCCGACCAAACGCAAGAAAUCUCUCGUUACAUGUGUCGGCGGCUCGCGUAACUCCGCAGCUGUUAGGUUUCAGAUGUCAAACUAUCAGCGCCACACGGUGAGCGGUGGUAAAGAGGGGGGAAGCGGCGACCCAGGUUCGCACGGCACAUCUCAUGUUAAGGUGGCAUGUGAUGUCAGCCCAAGCUAGUUCUGCACAUGCGCAUGACGUGGCCUUCCUCACGUUCGUAACAGUAGGCUCAUCUGUUGAGUCCCCUGGUCCUACAGUAGCCAACACUGGUGAGUCUUGUGGUCUUAGAGUAGCCACCACUGGUGUUCUGUGGUACUACAGUAGCCAACAGUGUUGAGUCCCCUGGUCCUACAGAAGUCAACACUGGUGGGUCUGUGGUCAUAGAGUAGCCACUACAGGCGAGUCUUGUGGUCUUACAAUAGCCACCACUGUUUAGUCUUGUGGUCUUACAGAUGCCAACACUUGUAAGUUUUGUGGUCUUACAGUAGCCACCACUGGUGAGUCCUGUGGUCCUACAGUAGCCAAUACUGGUGAGUCUUGUGGUCCUACAUUGAAAUGGUGUUAUUGUUUAGUUCAUAUUUCAUCUACAAUUGCAGCAAAAUAUUUGAUGGCCUUGUGCUGUAUGCUACAUGGUUGGGGCGUGCCAUUAUGCUUGCGGAUUUGCAUGUCUAGUAUGUGAAGAGGAGAAGACGUGUUGGCUUUUACAAAGUUUGCGGGAGUGACAUGUUUCAUACCGGAGUUUUUUGUGGGAGCUAAUGAAAAAUAGGUUUAAAUAUAUGAAUGUUUGGUUUAUACCUGUUUGGUCCUGUGCAUAAAAAAAAAGUGUUUAGAUUUGUAUUUGGUUUUUAAGCAUGCUGCUGCCAUUUUAGAUUUGGAUCGGCUUUGAGAGUAUCGCCGACUUUUUAAGAUAAGCUAGAUUACCUGGAAAGUGGUGGCACGGUAAAAUACUGGUAAUUUUCUAUUUUACAGUAUGACUAUAAAAUUACUACACUAGUCCUUCUAUUAGCACAACUAUUGUGUUCCCAAAAAAAUGUUCGUAUUACUUGAAAUCACAUAUUCUGAACCAUUAGUUUCCAUAAAUAUGAGGCUAUUUUAUUUAAUGUUCCAAAAAAUUGUGUAGGAAAAUAUACUUUACGUAAUAUGAAUGCGUAGAAUAACAGUAAAUGAUAAAUAUGUCACACCACAUAUCUUUAUAUCUCGUCCAUCAAACUUUUUAUGACAUUACCAGCUUAAUGGGAGAUACGUGGUUAUUUACUUUAUCGUCAGUCGGCUGGCUGACUUGCCGGCCCAGGUUUGACCUUCAACUCAAGUCGCGUACCUUUCCAAACCAUUCUUUACUAACAGUGAAACUGAUAUUACUGUCUGGAUAAUUACAUUUUCAUUUUUCAAAAAUUAAUAUUUUUAUUUUCAUAUCACUACCUGAUUCACACCAAUCCUGUCAUGCCAAUGAUUAUUUUUUUCAGUGCAACAUUCAUUUAACAACCUUUUCCAUGUGAAUCAUCUGUUCAUUUCUGUUACGGUAUCUAAGGUAGAUGUACCAGUAGUCGUCAUGCUAAGAAGUUUUUUAUAAAAAAAAAAAUUGUGUACAUAACCUUGUAGGUGUAUUACUGCCCCUACAUGUUUGUUUUUAACCUCAAACUUUACUCUACAAUGCUAUCCAACACUCUUCGAUAAACACAAAUUAUUUUUGUAGAUUUAUUAUUUUGAAAAAAGUGUGAUUUCGAGCCAGUAGUCGUCAUGCGAAUUUUCGUGUUUGCCAGUGUUCGUCACAUGUUUGUGCCAGUAGUCGUCAUGUGCGAUUUCGGCUGCAUUAGUUUUAAUUCAUGGAUCCAGAAUGAUAGUAUUGUACUAUUUGGGCUUCAAAUUUUAUUUGGUACUAUAUUUUAAACAUCAAAAUGGCAUUUCAUAAAGAUCAUUCAGUAAUAUAAUGAAUAAUCCUCAUUAAAUUUUGAAUUUACUUACAGCACUCACGGAACAAAGAGGGACAGCACAUAGAGCUGUAGCAAACCGAAUGUAUUCGUUACUGAGUAACCGGUGUGCCGUCUAGUAACGAGUAACAAAACGUUACACACGGCUGCAUUUUGUUACUCGCAUUUCUCGUAUAUUUUACGCAUGCGCGCGCAUAUUCAAUGAAUUUACGAUACAAAGAACGAUGUUUGUUUAUUAAUAAAGUAUAAUUUGGAAAUUCCUCGUCUAAGUUUUUUUACUGUUUAUUAAAGGUAUUAUGUGUGUAGACAAAGUUUGAGAUUGGAACAGAAACAACGUAACAAAGUAUUUUUUUACAAAUUAGAAAUAUGUAUGUUUUUGUUUUUCACUAUCGCGUAUUUUCACGUUUUUUUUGUUCUUAUCUUAAAAGAGAUAUAAUAAAGCCGCUCUAAUGAGAUUUAAUUGUUUCUUGGUUAACAAAAACUGUUUAAUUAUCAAAUAUUGUUAAUUGUUUAUAUUCUAUUUAUUAUUAUUUACGCGACGUCAUACUGUACGCGUACGCAAUACGACUCAAUUCGUUGCUGCAACAUAACAUAGCAGGUUAUGCGGUAUCAAAAGUAAAAUAUAAAAAUGAAUCAGGGCCCGCCCAUCUUCCUACCCAAGGGCGAUUUGCCUUUGUGUUUAUCGGACAAUGUGUUCCUUGGCACACUAUUUUUUUCCGCUGCUCAUUUUAUACUCAUACCAUUCGCUACAUCUUUAAGAGCAGCUUCCAUGGCUGACUCUUCAUACAACAGUAUUUUCCGUUUUGGCAUUUUGCCUUGUAAUUAAAGAACGAGACACAUUACAAUGUUUAGUUUACUUAUUAAUGUCAAAAUAUAUAUCGAAUGACCCCUAAAUUAAUGUAAACAACAAUGCCUACACAAUUUUUGCAAUCAAUAAAGUAAAGUAAUUUCCGACCCAGAAGUCGUCAUACACAUGCAUCGGAAGUCGUCAUAGGUGACGACUACUGGAUCUGAUCGUAAUAACGUACUUUGUCUAUUAACAACAAAGAACCAAUAUUAUUUAAGAACUUUAGGGUGUAACUUAGCACAACUUUAAAUAAAAUAUUAAAUGUACCAGUGCUCGUCAGGUAUGACGAACACUAGCAAUACAAGGUUUUUAUUGAUCCAGUUUUCGUCACCCUAACUAAAUCAUACAAAGAAAACGAAUUUUUUUAAAUAAACACUUUCACCUCUUCAAGAACAUUUAACUAACACAUUCAGCACAAAACAUCACGAAUAAACAUGUAAAAUUACAGAAUUAGAAGUAAAAAUGUUCACUAACGUCCUUAGUGUUUUAGUAUAGGAAUUCCCCUAUUUAUCUUCACUGCUCUACGAACUUUUGAUGCAUGGGCUUUUUUUGAUUGAAAAUAGUGUUUGUUCCGAAAACUAUUGUGGUAAUUUCAGCUAGAACGUCGACCAAAUUUUUGUCAAUAUUUAAGUUGGCGAUAUAUUGAGCUACUUCACUAUUAUUUACAUUGGAAGUUGCUAGUGACGACCAUUGGAGCAGUGACGAGUACCGGGGCACUUACCUUAAUGUCAUAUAUAUUCUCGCUAGUACAACCAUCAGUAACUUUUAUAAACUUUUGAUAUAGUCCUUAUUUUGUACGAUGGCUUUUGUUUGUGUGAAUUCCCUGCCACUGGCUAGACUGAGUUCACAGCUCAGUUUGUGGCCAGGCGACAACGGCACGGCAUGGCGGCAUACACGUGGACAAAUAAACAUUUGGUCCUUUACACUCCAUAGUUGCAAAUUAAGUUGCCAUAGCCGAUGUUUAUACAACAUAGCGAUAUACCGAUAGCGUAGUCAUUCCUGCGCGCACAUUUAUUUUCCCCUUGUAUGGCUAACUGUAUGCCACGGCACAUCUGUUGUUUACAGAAGUUAAAACAGACUUUAUGGCUUCAUGCCCGACUUUUUUCUACCUGUGGGGAUUUUGCUCUAACUGAAAUUUACAGACGUGCUAUUUAAGACUGGAGCAGUAGAAUUAACAUUGUGCUAAAUAAAUUCAUGCAAUCUGAAGAUGUGCUAAGUGAGGGAUUGGUGUAUUUAUGGUUGCUGGUGAAUCUCUAUUGGGCAGCUGACUUUUUAAGCAGUUAUUGGUCAGUGUACAUUAGUUAUGAAGUAGUUUAAGGACAGUUAAAGUGAACAGUAUAUAUUUUUGGUUAUAACUAUGUUUUAUUUUAAUGAGGCACACGGAUGAUCCAUCGGGUAUGUAUUGGAUUAAAUCCUGCUGGGACAAGAAACAUUAUACAUAUACAGGGUGUCCGGCGACCGGAAAAACCUGGAAAACCUGAAAAAGUCAGGGAAUUUUGGUGGUCAGGGAAAAGUCAGGGAAAAGUCAGGGAAAAAUGUGAAUGUUCUGGAAAUGACCAAAACCACCAACCACUCGCUUAUCAUGAAGGUUAUUCUCAAAGUUUUACAGAAUAAACUAUUUAGUUUUACUAUUUUACAACUCAAAUCAUAUUUAAACUAAUGUUUUCCUUUACGUAUCUGGACUUGCGACAUACAAGCGUGCUGCUUUCAUGAAGUCUAUAAAUACCUACCGUAUGUAUGACAUGCAUACCGUAUUUUGAUGAUAAUACCGCACACAAUGUUAGGAAGGGGGCAGAUAAUACCAUAGUUUGUAAACUUGUAAGCUACUGUUCAUAGUUAGUCUGCCUAAUAUAUUGCUACUGUACCAUAUUUUUGGUUACAACAUACAAUACUUUUGGCGUUCUCGAGUGUAUCCGAAGGUUACCGAAGCUGACCGAACCGACCACCGGCGCCAUUACUGCAGUUUCCUCUGUUUGUUUACACGUUUCGUCAGUUCUCUCAGAUUGCCAAAUAUAAUUUUCUUUGAAAGAUACGAAUAUUAUUUUGGAAAUUUCUGUACUCUAAUCAUAGCCAAAAUACUUACGAAUUUUAGUGCUGUGAUCUUAGGAAGUUAUAAAAUGUAGCAUAUUUCUUUACACUGUAGCGAUGUGCAUACAAACUUACGCUUUGUUUAUUGUGAAUCUUUCGCGGUCUUUCUGCUAGAUUUUACUGGAGCUGCGACUAGGCCUCUACAAUUUCGGUGAAUAAUGUCUAAAUUCAAGAAAACAUCGUUCAAUCCGACAUGGUUACUUGACCCAGCAUUUAGUUGUAAAUUAUGCAAGACUGUCGUUUCCCUCAGUAAUAUGGGCAAACAAGCUCUUUCAAGCCACAUAAAAGGCCAAAAACACCAACGUGCAAAUAAUGCAGUGAAUUCUUCCAAGUCUGUUGGUAUUUUUUUCAAAUCGGUUACUGCUAUGUCUAAAGCUACCACAAGCAAAUUCGGUGGACAAGUUGCUGAUGGACAAGCCUCUAAUGAACAACUUAAUUCGUCAGGUAACGUCAAAUCAUCUCAAAGCUCUUUGUCACACAAUAGUGAUUUGCCUAGCAGAUCCCGGUCUGUGAGUUCUCGAGGUGUUGAACAAUAUUUCAGGAAAGACAGUGUUACAAAAUCAGAAAUUUUGUGGUGUUUGAAUGCCAUUAUCCAGCAUUCUUCUCUUAGGUCUGCUGCCAAUAGUGUAUCUUUAUUCAAAAUAAUGUUUCCAGAUAGUGAAAUAGCUGCAGGAAUGCAAUUACAGGAAACCAAAUUAGCAUACACAAUUGUGUCAGGCCUUGCUCCUUACUUUCAAAAGGAAAUGUUAAAUAAUGUUGUUGACUGUCAUCAUAUUGUUGUUGCUUUUGAUGAAAGUUUAAACAAAGUUGCUCAAAUGCAACAAAUGGAUAUUUACGUCAGAUUCUGGGACAAGGAAAAGGAAGCUGUUACUACAUGAUAUUACAACUCUGCAUUUCUGGGUCACACAACUGCAAAUGAUUUGUUACUUUCAUUUAAGAAAUCUCUGGAAGAUAUCAAUCUGAAAAAUGUUGUACAAAUUUCCAUGCAUGGCCCCAAUGUCAACAAAAAAUUGUUGCUAGAUUUUAAGAAGCAGAUGGCAGAAGAUAACCAAGAUGCUGGCAUUUUGCUGGAUAUUGGCAGUUGUGGACUGCACACCCUCCACUGUGCUUUUAAAGGUGGCGUGAAAAGUGCAAGCUGGAAAGUUGUCAAAUUUUUAAGAGCUUUGCAUAACUUGUGGCACCAUGUACCUGCCAGGAGAGCUGAUUUUAUAUCCAUUACAGGCUCUUCAUUGUUUCCUCUCAAGUUCUGCUCGAUUCGUUGGCUUGAGAAUGCUGAGGUGGCAGACAGAGCUUUGAAAAUAUUUCCAAGUGUACAGAAGUAUGUUGCGCACGUUUCUGUUACAAAAAAAGUACCAACAUGUAAUAGUUUUCAAAUAAUUGCAGAAUCUGUUAAAGACAAGGCAUUGACAGUGAAAUUUGCAUUUUUUAAGUCUGUUUCUUUAGAACUUGAACCAUUUUUAAGGGAAUUUCAGUCAGAUGCUCCUUUAGCUCCAUUCCUGUACAGCAGUAUUUCAUCACUUGUAAAAAACUUGAUGGGAAAGAUAGUGAAGCCAGAUGUUUUAAAAAAUUCACCCUGCCUCACAAUUGAUGUAACUAAAAAGGAAAAUCUUAUGUCUCCAAAAUUAGUGAAACUUGGUUAUGAGACAAGAAUUGCUCUCUCGCAGGCAAAAUUGUCAGAGCGAGAAAUACUGGAGUUCAAAAAUGAGUGUCGUACAUUUUUGCAAACUAUGAUUUCAGAAAUAAUGUUGCGUUCUCCUCUUCACUUCAAGUUGACCAAAGCUAUUUCAUGCUUCGACCCUCUGGUAGCUACGCAAGCAGUAGUUGCCCAGAAGCGUUUGUCAGAUGCCUUAGAAAUAUACUGCAAAAACCAAUGGAUAUCUGGUAAUUUAGCUGACAAAGUACACAGGGAGUACAAAGACCUCUGUGCUUUGGAAUGUGUACAGUAUAAACUGGCCUCUUAUAGAAGAAAUUCUAUGACACUGGACAAGUUUUGGAUGGAGCUACUGGCAUUUGGUAGUUUCGAGCAUUUGACACAAUUCCUUAAACUGGUGCUGAUAUUAUCUCACGGAAAUGCCUCAUUAGAGAGAGGCUUUUCAGUCAACAAAGAGUGCCUCGUUGAAAAUAUGAGAAAUGAGUCUCUGGUUGCACAGCGUAGGAUUUUUGAUGCAGUGAUUGCUGCAGGUGGUUUGGACAAAGUGGAAAUAUCAAAACAGAUGAUCCAUGCUGCACAAAAUGCUUAUGCCUGUUACAAAGAUACUACAGAGAAGAAAAGGAAAGAUCAGGAAGAAGAAGUAAACAGAAAACAAGAGAAACGAAGACAAGUUGUAGCUUUAGCUGAAUUGGAAGCUCAGAAGCAAUCAAUUCUUGAACAUGCUGCCAAGGAAGCAGCCCUAAUAGAUAAGAAGAUGCUGAGUCUCAAGAACUGAAAAUAUUCUUAUCAUUAAGGGCAAGAAUUAAAAUAAUAUAUAAUGUUAAGUGCAUAAACUAUUUUUUGUCUCUGUAUAUUUUGAUAGAGGCCUAUGUUAGGAUUAUGCAGUAUUGAUAUGAUGGACUUGACUAUGCUUAUUCAUGAAGUGCAAGCUGAAACAUUAUUUGAAGUGCUACGUUUUUUUAUACAUAGUCUGGUCCAGUAAAACAAACUUUUUAGAAGAUUUCACAGCCUGGAAUAUAUACUGGUAAGUUUAUGGUCAAUAUUUUUUAAGAUCAUACCUUUUUUUAGGGCUGUGAUGUCAUUUACAAUUUUUCUGGAAAAAUUUUCAUUUUUGUCUGGAAAACCUGGAAAAGUCCGGGAAUUUUUCUAUCCUGGUUUGCUGGACACCCUGAUAUAACACUGAACAAAUAGUUGGGAAAGCUGGAUGUGUCAUAAAAUAAUUUUGUUGUUUACAUUAAAUUUUUGGGGAAAAUUUAAUUGUGGAUAUUUGUGCUAUGAACACAUUGAUUCUCAUGACAAUAAUUGUGAAUUUAACUUUUUUCUCGACAAACCAUAUUUUGAAUUAUAUGACAUAUCUAUUGUUUCCUUACAACUUUCAUUCUUUCUGAAAACUAAUACACUGUGGAUGUUUGCAAGUAAUGCGUCCAUUUAUGUUCCUUUUUUAUGUCGAACAACAACAAAGUCAUUUUUACAGUUCAUCAUACUCAUAAUUGGUAGUUGUUUCAUCAGUAACACCUCACAUUGUGAUAUUGUAUGCCCUUUUUUUUUUUUUAAUUUUUUCUUCUGUUAGUUCAUCCGUAACUUUAAAUCUAACUCUACCUACCAUACAUGUUCCUUAAUUUAAUUUUAAUUUAAGUCAAUUUACAUUUUUCAAUUCUCUAAUUUGACCUUGAAUAACUCCAUUGUUAAGGAUAUCAGUAAUCUUUUAGUAUCGCAACCCAGAGGUGUGCUUCUUUCCAUGAUGUUAUUAAUCUUUUACGACUUCACCAGCAUGUUGAAUCCAGUUUUUAUCUUAACAUUGUUGCCAUAUCCUUAUCCUCUCUUGUUUUCUUUGUAUUCCUUACUCUCAGCCUUGCCCUUGUGCAGGUCACCCUCUCUGGUAUCUCUACCAAAGAGACUCUUUGUCAGUGGCCAGGCAUUCAGUCAGCCAUUGAACAAGUUGCUCCGAUGCCGCCGUGCGGGUAUCGCUGGUGUCAAUCGCCGCUGCAGCAGUAGUUGAACGGAAUGAACCUCACAACUGUGUGGGUUGCCAUGGCAACACUUCAUCCAGCUGCAUUGGACACAGUUCCCAAG